rnacentral:rRNA from 1 species
GACGAACGCUGGCGGCGUGCUUAACACAUGCAAGUCGAACGGAAAGGCCCUGCUUGCAGGGUACUCGAGUGGCGAACGGGUGAGUAACACGUGGGUGAUCUGCCCUGCACUUCGGGAUAAGCCUGGGAAACUGGGUCUAAUACCGGAUAGGAGCCAUUUUUAGUGUGAUGGUUGGAAAGUUUUUUCGGUGUAGGAUGAGCUCGCGGCCUAUCAGCUUGUUGGUGGGGUAAUGGCCUACCAAGGCGGCGACGGGUAGCCGGCCUGAGAGGGUGGACGGCCACAUUGGGACUGAGAUACGGCCCAGACGCCUACGGGAGGCAGCAGGGGGGAAUAUUGCACAAGGGGCGCAAGCCUGAUGCAGCGACGCCGCGUGGGGGAGGACGGCCUUCGGGUUGUAAACUCCUUUCGCUAGGGACGAAGCUUUUUGUGACGGUACCUAGAGAAGAAGCACCGGCUAACUACGUG